rnacentral:rRNA from 1 species
GACGAACGCUGGCGGCGUGCUUAACACAUGCAAGUCGAACGGAAAGGCCCUGCUUUUGUGGGGUGCUCGAGUGGCGAACGGGUGAGUAACACGUGAGUAACCUGCCCUUGACUUUGGGAUAACUUCAGGAAACUGGGGCUAAUACCGGAUAGGAGCUCCUGCUGCAUGGUGGGGGUUGGAAAGUUUCGGCGGUUGGGGAUGGACUCGCGGCUUAUCAGCUUGUUGGUGGGGUAGUGGCUUACCAAGGCUUUGACGGGUAGCCGGCCUGAGAGGGUGACCGGCCACAUUGGGACUGGAAUACGGCCCAGCCUCCUACGGGAGGCAGCAGUGGGGAAUAGUACACAAUGGGCGGAAGCCUGAUGCAGCAACGCCGCGUGCGGGAUGACGGCCUUCGGUUUGUAAACCGCUUUCGCCUGUGACGAAGCGUGAGUGACGGUAAUGGGUAAAGAAGCACCGGCUAACUACGUG